AGGAUCCCAGCAAUGAAAUUUACCUGAAAUCUUUGGAAACAUCUGCUAAAGUAGGUCUCUCUCCAUACUUGCAAAGGCCGUAGAAGAUAUGGUGUUAUUCAAUGUGAUCCACUAGUUCGCAAAGGACUUGAGAAAACUCCGAACGUGAAACAAUGACAAUGAGAAAGUGUUAAAAGCACAUGGAGCAAAACAACAAUGUGAAACUGUUAAAAGAACUCCAAGGAACCAAUUAGAGCCUAUUUAUGAGGUUUAGGUAAGAUCAAUCAUUGGUGGUUUAAUCUUGCUGUUUCGGGUUGGAAGAACUGUAUGAAAGAAAUCAGUUAAAUUGCUGCUGUUAAUGAGGUCCGAAAGUGAGUAAAUUGAUGUUUGAAAUAUCUUUGUAUGAUGGAUUGAAUGCUGCUGUAUAUUGUUGCUCAUUACCGAAUUAAUGCUGAAACUAAGCUAAUUAAAUGGUGGAUAAUUUGCUGUCGAUUAUGAUGGAAAUGACUAUUAAAUGUUUAAAAUUCCUCUUAUUUAA